GACGAACGCUGGCGGCGUGCCUAAUACAUGCAAGUAGAACGCUGAAGAGAGGAGGUUGCUCUUCUUGGAUGAGUUGCGAACGGGUGAGUAACGCGUAGGUAACCUGCUUUGUAGCGGGGGAUAACUACUGGAAACGAUAGCUAAUACUGCAUAACAAUGGAUGACACAUGUCAUUUAUUUGAAAGGGGCAAUUGCUCCACUACAAGAUGGACCUGCGUUGUAUUAGCUAGUUGGUGGGGUAAUGGCUCAACUAGGCGACGAUACAUAGCCGGCCUGAGAGGGUGGUCGGCCGCACUGAGAGUGAGACACAGCCCAGACUGCCACGGGAGGGAGCAGUAGGGAAUCUUCGGCGAUGGGGGCAAGCCUGACCGAUCAAGGCCGCGUGAGUGAAGAAGGGUUGCGGAUCGGUAGUCUCUGUUGUAAGUCAGGAAAGGGGGUGAGAGUGGAAUGUUCACGCUUUGACGGUAGCUGACCAGAAAGGGACGGCUAACUACGUG
rnacentral:rRNA from 1 species